AUUAUUUUUAUUAUAAAAUUUUAAGCUGGAGUAUUAAUAGUUAUGAUCUUUAAACUUAAAGAAUUUGGCGGUAUUAUAGUCUAUUUAGAGGAAUCUGUUAUAUAAUCGAUAAUCCACGUUGAACCUUACUUAUAUAAAUUCUUGUAUACCGCUGUUUAAGAAUAUACUUUUAGGUAAAUUUUCAGGAUAUAAUAAUAAUUAAUAUUUCAAGUCAAGGUGCAGUUAUAUAUAAGUUGAAUAAUGGAUUACAAUAAAUUUUAUUUAUAAUGAAUUAUUACUGUAAAAGUAAUUUGAAGGUGGAUUUAAUUGUAAUUUUAUAAAGAUUAAUAAAAUGAUUUUUAGCUCUAUAAUAUGUACACAUC
rnacentral:rRNA from 1 species